AUCACAUGUGAACUGGAAGGGAGCCAACAUGGAGACACAGAGAGCGCAAGACAAGUCCAGGAUUACAGUCAUAGCUGAUUUCUGUUGUUUUUUGCCUUUUUGGCCAAAAACCAGGACCUUUUUCUCCCUGGAAUUUCUUAAGGACAAAAAGCGUAAUUAAAACAUUGCCUGCCUACCCCACACAUGAGAUCCUUCUAUCAGGGCAGGAAUUUGAAAAACCAAAUUGAACUGCAGCCUGAAGAAUCCAGAGUAAAACCAGUCUGGAUAUCCAUCCUUCCUGGGCUCAAAAUUUUAGGGCCUAGGUAAAUACGUUCAAUUACUUUUCAAGUAAUUGGCCACACAGUCUCAGAGAUUUGGGUUGCUGAGUCAUUUGUUCCCAAGAAGAUCUGACAACAUGAAAAACAGCAAAACAGAGCAACAGCCAAGCCUGGACCUGAAGUGGCCAAUGACUGGGUUCUCCUCUCCAGCAUGGGCAGUCAAGCAAGAUGAGCAUCCACGAGCCGACCCCCAACCCCUCCACAAUGUUCAUGCAUGGAUGUCCACACUCCUGGAAACUCUUCCAGGAAGGGGUGGUCCACCAAUGAUCUAGAGAUGGAGUGGGGUUGUUUUUGGAUACUCACAGGUCUCCACUACAGCAAGCAAAGAGCCCCCAACAUUUUCCUGCCCCUCCCCCCAGACGCAAAAAUGCUUCCAAGAACAACUGAGAUACUAAAUCACUAGACCCUACAUACCCAGAUAGACCAAGGGAGUGUUGGGUUCCCACACUGCUACAUCCAAAGAAUGCAGAAAGGUUCCCGACAACCAGUUGUACCAUAUGAGCCUAGACUUGACCAGAAGUGAGUGAGAUAUUCAGGUCCUGGGUCAGGUAACUUAUGAAGUCUAUGACAUCAAGAACCUUGCAACUUCCAGGAAGAUGAAUGAGAAUGCGAGGCCAGGCAGCUACCUUAUCCCAUAUCUGCUUCCCAGGCAGCCUUCUUCAAGCAACUACUCUGGGCCAAAGUUUCAUCCGGCAGAAAGAAGGACCACUUGGAAGACAAGCAUGGCACUACACAGUUUUAAAAGAAGACCAGAGUAUCUGUGCCAGGCUCCCAGCAGGGGGGAAAGUGCUUCAAAUUCACACCUUCUGGGCUCCAAGGUUGAGCAUGCCAAUAAAGAAGUUACCUACUGGUCUGAUGACCAAAGGAACGUGGCCUUGAUGGCACUAAAGCAAGUCCCCCAGAAAGGUCCUCUGGUUACUUAAAUCCCAUUUGCCGUAGUUUCCUUCUCCAUGGAAGAAAAACAUGCCUAAGUUCAUGUCAGGACAUUCCUGAUUUAUCCAAGAGCCCAGGAUCAAAUAAACAAAGGGCUCUGAGCUCUGCCAGGGAGCCUCCUCCUUCAGGAGGCAGAACUAGAGGGAAGUAGGCUUGGUACAGAGCUGGCCCAUCACCCCAUGAACUUGGUGAGUGACGUGGCUGCUCACUGCCAUGGCGAUGGGGAUGUUACGGGUGGGUGGAAGUGAGAGAAGAGGCAAAUAAGUCAUGAGAGACGAAGCGAAAGCGAGGCAGGGUCACAGGAGGAACCUACAAAGCCACAGAAUUUGUACAGAGGCCGACUGUAGUCUAUGACCGCAGCAAAACUAAGCUGAGUCCCUGCAAAGAUAAGUCCCCAUCUCAGGGGUGCGGCAUGAACCAACUAUGACUCGCAAAAACCUAUGACAACACUACGUUCAGCAAGGCUUUGUUUCCUUUCAUUUUCCCUCUAAAUCUUUUCCUUCCCAUGACCCCGUUGGUACGGCUUUGAUGACUGGAAGAACACUAGGGUUUUCGGUUUUGCUCCGGUUUGAAUAAAAUGACACAGACAUACAUGGAGUGGUUUUAAAGAGUGGAGAAUUUAAUAGGCAAGAAAGAAGGAAGAGGCUUUUCCUGUACAGAGACAGAGGGGGGCUUUAAGCCGAAAGAGGGAACCUUGAGUGCGGUGGAAAACAGCCAGUUAUAUGAGGAGGCUGGAGGAGGCAGGAUUAAAACAGUCAUUUUAGGUACCUCUGCCCAAUUCUAGGUCUUCCUUCUAUUAACCUGAUUCUACAAGGCACCAAGAACAAAAAAACCCGAAUGGGAUGACCAGGAAGCAGAAAUGAAUUCAGUUCCAAAAACAUGGGAGGAUGUUUACUUAGCAAGCACGCUCGAGCCUACAAGGAAGCAGUUUUACAGGGUGCUGCAUGCAGUGUUUGAUUUCAGGGGGUAAAGAUAACUUCAGAGUGGGGAAAAGGUGCUGGCUCCUUCUACUCACCCUCAGAGGCUUGGGGAGGCCAGGCCAGCACAAACUUGAAAAGGCAAGGCUUCAGCUCAAGCCCAACAGGUUGCCGGCUCUCUUUGGCUCCUCGGCAGCUACCGGACUCAGGAACUAAACAAACUCUCCAGACUUCAUGAGCAUUCCGUGGCCUCCGACUGAUCUGGGUCAAAACUUCGAAAUGCCAAAGACAAAGAAUUUUUUUCUUUAAAGGGGAAUGAGCUGAACUUUGACCCGCCCUUGUUCAGGGUGUGGAAUGCAAGCACUGUGUACCGGCCACAAACUCCAGUUCGGCAGGCAACAGCCAGAAAAGCAGUCUUCAUGCCGGCUUCAUGCCGGCCUCCCUGUCCUGUUUCCUCUUUAGGGCCAACUCGACGGGGUCUAGGUCUUUACCUCGCUCUCCAGACAGGGAAGCUGUGCAGAGGACACAUUCCAAUCUCUGUUAUCUAGAGCUAGAGUGGAUGUUCUAGAUAAAUCUGGCAGCGAUCUGGUCUCAGGUGGAACUGACAGGCCCAGUCCACAGCAAGAUGGCAUUUCUGUUCACUCCCUGGGAGCUGGUGGACAACAGGCGCUUGGUUACCACCUGAGGUAAAUCAUUUAUUAAGUACCUACUAAGUGCUAAGCCAAGAUACAGCACAGGAAAAGCAUCAGAAACAGUCCAUCAUGGAGAACACACACAUUCCAGCUGAGGCUAAGUAUUCCCAAAUUUGCAUUGCUGAUAUUUAAAACAUCUGCUUACUUUAAAAGCUGAGAUCCACUUUUGCAAUGAAAUAAUAUCAAACAUACUGCUUGGUUCCCAGGCUAGCUCACAAAAGCCCAUUUUAUCCACUCCAGGAAGUCAUCAACUCCAGUGUCUUCAGGGGCCAUGCAGGUAAUGAAGGAGUACAGUGGCCUGGGGAGGGGAUGUGCCCAGUGGAAGGACCGUGCCACUCCUGAUGGGCCACCCUCCUGGCUCUGCCUGCUGGGGACCAUCUGGGAACAGAGACCCAAAGAGUCCAGAUCAUCCAGGUUUUCAGGGCAAGGCGGAAAACUAGCUUUAUGUUAAACUCCUGAUUUUUUUUUUAACACUGUCCAGAUAUUUUAAUGGUCAGAACAUACCUAUAGAGCUUCCAGUUUGUUCUCCUGGUUGUAAUGUGUCUAAAAUACAAUACGUUUGUAAUAAAAAAAAAAAAAAAAAAGAGCAAGCAUUGCCAGAGUGAGGAAUUAAAUAAAAUAAAGAACAUACCCAAAGAGGAAAACUUUACCUCACACAUCUGCCAUUUGAGGAAAAUAAUAAGCAUAGAGGAAAAUGAGGAAAAUUUAAAACUUCCCUGAGGGCUGCAGGUGGAGAGGUGUAUCGAAAUGACUUCCAAGUAUACGUGAUUUAACUGAAGUAGUAAUAAUAUGUGUGCAUCCUGACCUGCCAGCUAGGCAGAAAAGUCAUGCUGAUAUACUGGCUCUGUCUCCCAGUUGAGAGCGCUUCUCUGGACAUCCACAAAACGUCCAUCCAGGGCUUUGGUGAUAAGAUUGGAAGGGCUUAUCAUAAUCCAGCUGCCCAUUCAAGACACAGUACCCUCCACAAACACCACCGUGACCAAGUCAUGGUCUAGCCCCAACUUGAUUCAAUAACUCCCACCACACCUUUGGAGGGUUCAGACAAGUGGAACACAACUGAGAUGAAAUCUCUCUGCAGGGAAAUAUUAGCCUUCAGGUCUCCACUCUGCCUCUGGAGCCCCAGAGAACAAGCCUACUCCCCCAAAGACUUGGAGACACUUUAGGAUGGUUUUUACAACCAGAAGUUUUUAGGCUAAACAAGAAGGUACAAAAAGGGAAAUUAAAAAGGAAGGGCGGGGGGAAGAAGCCAGAGAGAAAUAUUCUCGAAAUAACUGAUCAAAAGUUAACAAGCCAAAGGAAAAGAGGAAGAGACACAGGCAUUCAUGAGACAGGAGCCUCUUGUGGCCAAACCAAUAGCAAGUGAAGAAGCACAUGGGAAAGGAAGGGCCCACAGUCCAUACACAAAAGAAAAUGCCAAGAGCCACCAGAUCAGACAGUUCCCAAGGCCAGCCACCAGGCUGUGCCAGUGAUCCAGGACAUACUGGUUAGAACCUUGCACUGGGAGAAGAAAACUGCAUACAACUCACAAUUGUUCAGUAUGGAACUUUUUUCUGUCCAGGGGGAAGGGUUUCUUUUACUGAUGGAUUUGUUGGAGUUAUUUAUAUAUUCUGGAUAUGAAUCCACUUGCCAGGUAUAGGUACUGAGUAUAUCUUCUCCUCUCUGCUUGGCUUCACUCUCUUUUAUUGAUGUCAUUUGAUAAUCAGAAGCUCCUCAUUUUAAUGACAUCCAACUUAUCAGUCUUCUCCCUUAGAGUUAGUGCUUUCUGUGUCUUCUUUAAGAAAUGUAUGGCUACCCCAAAGUUAUAAAGAUAUUCUAUGCUAUCUUGUAGAUGAAGUUUUGUUUUAAUUUUCACAUUUAGAUUGAUGAUCGCUUUGGAAUUUAUUUUUGUAUAUGAUCAAGAUUCAUUUCUUUCCUGUGGAUAUCCAGUUGAACCAGCACUGUUUAUUAAAAUAACCAUCCAUUCCCCACUGCCCAGCAGUGCCUUCUUCAUCAUAAAUCAGGUGUCCAGAUACAUAUAGGUCUGUUUCUGAGCUCCCUGUUCCAUUUCUUUGGUAGAAAUAAGACAAACAAAUAGGUCUGCUAUUACGGUGUAGAUCACUAAUUGUAAAUCUGGUCAUUUUAACAUGUUUACAAGUAAGGUUUAGGAAAAUACACUGAGGGGCCAAUUGUGAGAAGCCAGCUUGAUGUGGACAUGCAUAGUCUGAGAAGAGAACUCCAGCCUGGGCUUCUGAGAAUGAAUAGGAUGAGCAAGAACUGGUAAAGAAAUAGCAUCACUAGCUAAGGAAGGGGACAGCAAGAAGAAAAGCACAGAAAAAUAAAAAUCAGCCUUAUUUUUUUGUGGAGAGCAACAUAGUGAUUAAGAGUACAGACUCACACAGUUUAGGAGACAGCUUGCAUCCAAAUCCCCUAAUACUAUUUAGCUGUGUCACCUUGGGCAAGUUACCUUGGCCUUUCUGGCCUCAGUUUCCUAAUCAGCAAAAUGGGGGUAAUCUUCCUCAUUGAGCUAUAAGAUUAAAUGGGUUAACUAAUGCAUAUCUUUUAGUACAGAGCUUACCACUGCAAGCAUUCAUUCAAAAAAUGCUGUGUGCUAUCAUCAUCAUUAGUGACACCAUGGAGAACAGCUGGACUGUCAGAGCAAUCUUGCCAUUCAACCAACAUUUAUAGAGUACUUAACUACCAAACAAAAAUAUUACAUUUAGUGGUUAAAAACUCUAACUCUAAAAUGAGAUAGAUUUGAAUCUGAAUUCUAGUGCAGCCUCUUGACUAAUUAUAUAAACUUGAACAACUUACUUAACCUUUCUAAGUUUCUAGUUUCAGCUUCAUCUAUACUUCAUUGGGAUUUUCUUGGAGAGGAUGUGAGAUACAGAAGUAAUGCAGCACAAGGCCCAACACAGAAUAAGUGCUCAAUUAAUCCCAGCUAUCACUAUGAUGAUGAGAAUGACAACAAUGGUGACAUAAAGAUUUUGCAUUUGGUAUAAGAAAAAGCCUACCAACACCUCAA
rnacentral:lncRNA from 1 species